ensembl:lncRNA
UUGGAACUAGAGAGUAGGGGAUAGAGAGUAGGGACUAGAGAGUAGGGACUGGAGAGUAGGGACUAGAGAGUAGGGACUAGAGAGUAGGGCUAGAGAGUAGGGGUUGGGGAUUAGGGUCUAGGGUGUAGGGGAUAGAGAGUAGGGGUUGGGGAGUAGGGACUAGAGAGUAGGGACUAGAGAGUAGGGGUAAGAGACUAGGGGCUAGAGAGUAGGGACUAGAGAGUAGGGGACAGACAGUUGGAACUAGAGAGUAGGGGAUAGAGAGUAGGGACUAGAGAGUAGGUGUUGGAGAGUAGGGACUGGAGAGUAGGGGUUGGAGAUUAGGGACUAGAGAAGCAGGGGAUAGAGAGUAGGGACUACAGAGUAGGGGCUAGAGAGUAGGGGC